rnacentral:rRNA from 1 species
GAUGAACGCUGGCGGCGUGCCUAAUACAUGCAAGUCGAGCGAACGGACGAGAAGCUUGCUUCUCUGAUGUUAGCGGCGGACGGGUGAGUAACACGUGGAUAACCUACCUAUAAGACUGGGAUAACUUCGGGAAACCGGAGCUAAUACCGGAUAAUAUUUUGAACCGCAUGGUUCAAAAGUGAAAGACGGUCUUGCUGUCACUUAUAGAUGGAUCCGCGCUGCAUUAGCUAGUUGGUAAGGUAACGGCUUACCAAGGCAACGAUGCAUAGCCGACCUGAGAGGGUGAUCGGCCACACUGGAACUGAGACACGGUCCAGACUCCUACGGGAGGCAGCAGUAGGGAAUCUUCCGCAAUGGGCGAAAGCCUGACGGAGCAACGCCGCGUGAGUGAUGAAGGUCUUCGGAUCGUAAAACUCUGUUAUUAGGGAAGAACAUAUGUGUAAGUAACUGUGCACAUCUUGACGGUACCUAAUCAGAAAGCCACGGCUAACUACGUGCCAGCAGCCGCGGUAAUACGUAGGUGGCAAGCGUUAUCCGGAAUUAUUGGGGGUAAAGCGCGCGUAGGCGGUUUUUUAAGUCUGAUGUGAAAGCCCACGGCUCAUCGUGGAGGGUCAUUGGAAACUGGAAAACUUGAGUGCAGAAGAGGAAAGUGGAAUUCCAUGUGUAGCGGUGAAAUGCGCAGAGAUAUGGAGGAACACCAGUGGCGAAGGCGACUUUCUGGUCUGUAACUGACGCUGAUGUGCGAAAGCGUGGGGAUCAAACAGGAUUAGAUACCCUGGUAGUCCACGCCGUAAACGAUGAGUGCUAAGUGUUAGGGGGUUUCCGCCCCUUAGUGCUGCAGCUAACGCAUUAAGCACUCCGCCUGGGGAGUACGACCGCAAGGUUGAAACUCAAAGGAAUUGACGGGGACCCGCACAAGCGGUGGAGCAUGUGGUUUAAUUCGAAGCAACGCGAAGAACCUUACCAAAUCUUGACAUCCUUUGACAACUCUAGAGAUAGAGCCUUCCCCUUCGGGGGACAAAGUGACAGGUGGUGCAUGGUUGUCGUCAGCUCGUGUCGUGAGAUGUUGGGUUAAGUCCCGCAACGAGCGCAACCCUUAAGCUUAGUUGCCAUCAUUAAGUUGGGCACUCUAAGUUGACUGCCGGUGACAAACCGGAGGAAGGUGGGGAUGACGUCAAAUCAUCAUGCCCCUUAUGAUUUGGGCUACACACGUGCUACAAUGGACAAUACAAAGGGCAGCGAAACCGCGAGGUCAAGCAAAUCCCAUAAAGUUGUUCUCAGUUCGGAUUGUAGUCUGCAACUCGACUACAUGAAGCUGGAAUCGCUAGUAAUCGUAGAUCAGCAUGCUACGGUGAAUACGUUCCCGGGUCU